rnacentral:rRNA from 1 species
CCUACGGGAGGCAGCAGUGGGGAAUUUUGACAAUGGGCGAAAGCCUGAUCCACCUGCCGCGUGCAGAGAUGAAGGCCUUCGGGUUGUAAACUGCUUUUGUCGGAACAAAAGGCUUUUCUAAUAAAGAAGGCUCAUGACGGUACCGUAAGAAUAAGCACCGGCUAACUACGUGCCAGCACCGCGGUAAUACGUAGGGUGCAAGCGUUAAUCGGAAUUACUGGGCGUAAAGCGUGCGCAGGCGGUUAUAUAAGACAGAUGUGAAAUCCCCGGGCUCAACCUGGGAACUGAUUAUGACUGUAUAGCUAGAGUGCGGCAGAGGGGGAUGGAAUUCCGCGUGUAGCAGUGAAAUGCGUAGAUAUGCGGAGGAACACCGAUGGCGAAGGCAAUCCCCUGGGCCUGCACUGACGCUCAUGCACGAAAGCGUG